AUUGAACGCUGGCGGCAGGCCUAACACAUGCAAGUAGAACGAGUGGCGGACGGGUGAGUAAUGUCUGGGAAACUGACUGAUGGAGGGGGAUAACUACUGGAAACGGUAGCUAAUACCGCAUACCAUCAGAUGUGCCCAGAUGGGAGUAGCUUGUUGAUGGGGUAACGGAUCACCAAGGCGACGAUCCCGAGCUGGUCUGAGAGGAUGACCAGCCACACGGGAACGUAGACACGGUCCAGACUCCUACGGUAGUCAGCGGUGGGGAAUAUUGCACAAUGGGCGCAAGCCUUAUGCAGCCAUGCCGCGUGUAUGAAGAAGGCCUUCGGGGUGUAAAGUACUUUCAGCGGGGAGGCGUUACCCGCAGCAGAAGCACCGGCUAACUCCGUGCCAGCAGCCGCGGUAAUUC
rnacentral:rRNA from 1 species